rnacentral:lncRNA from 1 species
GACUGGUCUUGAAGUGCUGAGCUCAAGCUAUCCUCCUGCCUGGGCCUCCCAAAGUGCCAAGCUUACAGAGUGCCCUUUGUGUCUCGUGGCUCGGGGACUUUUUUCAGGGGUGAGAGUAGGAAGCAGAAGCUAUUUGAAGACAACCCUUCUUCCUGUCCUUUCCUGAGAACCUGAGCGCACCUCCAUCCUGGUUUUCAUGCUGCCAACGUGUCUACUUGCCACUCAUUCCAGGGAAAAGCAGCCAGGCCUCAUUUUAUCCUCAUCUCAGAUCCACAGCAAGAGCAGAUGGGGUGAAGAUCAAACUCUCCACCACAGCCAUUCCCGAGCCCUGUGCUGCUGCCCGCCCUGUGCCCGCAUCAGACAGUUGACUCGCAACAAGCCUGUGAGUGACCUUCUCAGGCCCAUGUUUCUCAGAAGAGGAAGCUGAGCAGGAAAGAAAUGGAGUGAUUUGCAUUAGGCCAUCGAGCUACCAGUGGCAGAGCUGGGAUUCAGACCUGGACGCUGACCCCAGGGCACACUGGAAAAUACUGCUCUUCCCUCCGCUGAGUGGAACUUACACCAAAGCAGACCCCUGGCCUCCUGAGUCCAGUGUGCCCCUAACACUACCUUGUGGUCUCCCCAUCUAUAAAAUGAGAGCGCAGGACUCACCUGGUCAUCUCAAAGGCCUCUGCCAGCCCCUGUCAUUUCCUGGCCCCCAUCUACUGUUGCAGUCCACACCUCGUAAGGCAGGAUAGCCUGGUGGCUGAAGGGUGGGCCGCGAAGCCGGAGUGCCUAGGCUCAAGCCAAUGCUCUCAUUCAAUGCCCGCAUGAUUUCAGGUGGGUCACCUAGCCCCCACCUAUCAAGUGGACAACAGUGAUAGCUCCUACUGCAUACGGCUGUUGUGAGGAUUAAAUAAAUCCAACCACUAAAGGCUCUUAGGGCAGCGCCUGGCACACAGUAAGGCCAUCUCUGUGUGUGUGAUUCUUGUCUCUGUAAUGAAAUGAAAGCCAAAGUCCUGAUUCUUGGUCCUAGGAGGGGGAUGCCAGCCCUGAACUUUCCUGCGACUGGUCCUCCACAACCCCAGGUGUCCUGAAAUGACAUCUAUCCCCUGCCCCAGACAGGCCCACCUGGCUUCUUGUGUCCCUGGAGGGAAGGGAUAAGGUAAGAAUACAGGUUUUGGCCAGGUGCAGUGGCUCAUGCCUGUAAUCCCAGCACUUU